GACCGCGGCUAUACCACCCUGAAAGCAGCCAAUCUCAUUGCCAAGCAGAGUUGGGCCUGGUUUGUUCUUGGAUGGGAGACCGCCUGGGAAUCCAAGGUGUCAUCGGCU
rnacentral:rRNA from 1 species